CGCGCAGGCGGCUUUUUCAAGUCAGGCGUGAAAGCCCCGGGCUUAACCUGGGAACUGCGUCUGGGACUGAGAGGCUAGAGUUCGGGAGAGGAGAGUGGAAUUCCCAGUGUAGAGGUGAAAUUCGUAGAUAUUGGGAAGAACACCGGUGACGAAGGCGGCUCUCUGGACCGAGACUGACGCUGAGGCGCGAAAGCGUGGGGAGCAAACA
rnacentral:rRNA from 1 species